AAAUUCAAGGAAUUAAGAGUUUAUGGGGGAUACCUUGGCAUUCAGAAGCGAUGAAGGACGUGGUUACCGACGAAACGCUUCGGGGAGCUGGAAACAAGCUAUGAUCCGGAGAUCUCCGAAUGAGGAAACUCUAAUACUACUUAUUGAAUACAUAAAUAAGAAAGAGCGAACCUAGGGAACUGAAACAUCUUAGUACCUAGAGGAAAAGAAAGUAAAAACGAUUCCCUUAGUAGCGGCGAGCGAAAUGGGAACAGCCUAAACUUAAUUUUAAGGGUAGCGGGACAAUUAUUAAUGAUUAAAUGUGACAAUUAGACGAACUUAGAUGGAAUGCUAAACCAAAGAGAGUGAUAGUCUCGUAGUCGAAAAUUGAAACAAUCAAAUUGUAUCCCAAGUAGCAUGGAGCACGUGAAAUUCCGUGUGAAUCAGCGAGGACCACCUCGUAAGGCUAAAUAUUCCUGAAUGACCGAUAGUGAAAUAGUACCGUGAGGGAAAGGUGAAAAGAACCCCGGGAGGGGAGUGAAAAGAACAUGAAACCAUAAACUUACAACCAGUAGGAGGACGACUAAAACGUCUGACUGCGUGCCUGUUGAAGAAUGAGCCGGCGACUUAUAAGUAGUGGCAGGUUAAGGUAGAGAAUACCGGAGCCAUAGUGAAAGCGAGCCUGAAUAGGGCGUUUGUCACUGGUUAUAGACCCGAACCCGGAUGAUCUAACCAUGGCCAGGUUGAAGCUUAGGUAAUACUAAGUGGAGGACCGAACCGACUGAUGUUGAAAAAUCAGCGGAUGAGUUGUGGUUAGGGGUGAAAUGCCAAUCGAAUUCGGAGCUAGCUGGUUCUCCCCGAAAUGCGUUUAGGCGCAGCGAUGAAUGUUAUAGCUUAGGGGUAAAGCACUGUUACGUAUGCGGGCUGGUAAUUCGGUACCAAAUCGUUGCAAACUAAGAAUACUAAGUGUACAGUUCAUCAGUGAGACUGUGGGGGAUAAGCUCCAUUGUCAAGAGGGAAACAGCCCAGAGCACCAGUUAAGGCCCCUAAAUAAUUGCUAAGUGAUAAAGGAGGUGGGAGUGCAUAGACAAUCAGGAGGUUUGCUUAGAAGCAGCAAUCCUUUAAAGAGUGCGUAAUAGCUCACUGAUCGAGUAAACCUGCGCCGAAAAUGUACGGGACUAAGUAAUUUGCCGAAACUGUGCGAUAUAUAAAAUAUAUCGGUAGGGGAGCGUUCUGUUGUAGGUUGAAGUAUUAGCGGAAGCGGAUAUGGACGAAGCAGAAGUGAGAAUGUCGGCUUGAGUAACGAAAAUAUAGGUGAGAAUCCUAUACCCCGAAAACCCAAGGUUUCCUCCGGAAGGCUCGUCCGCGGAGGGUAAGUCAGGACCUAAGGCGAGGCUGAAAAGCGUAGUCGAUGGACAACGGGUUAAUAUUCCCGUACCAUUAUUUGUUGAUAUCGAGGGACGGAGAAGGCUAAGCUGGCCGGAUAUUGGUUACCGGUUUAAACGUUCGAGAUGAUGAGAAACGGCGAAAACGUUUUGAGUUGAGGCGUGAGUACGAGAUGCUACGGCAUUGAAGCAGUCUAUGUCAUACUUCCAAGAAAAGCUUGCACUGUCAUAAACAAAUAAUGCCUGUACCAUAACCGACACAGGUGGGUAGGUAGAGUAUACUAAGGGGCGCGAGAUAACUCUCUCUAAGGAACUCGGCAAAAUGACUCCGUAACUUCGGGAGAAGGAGUGCCUUAUUUAUAAGGUUGCAAUAACAAGAUCCAAGCAACUGUUUAUCAAAAACACAGGUCUCCGCUAAGUCGUAAGACGAUGUAUGGGGGCUGACGCCUGCCCAGUGCCAGAAGGUUAAAGAAGUUGGUUAGCAUUAGCGAAGCUGAUAACUGAAGCCCUGGUGAACGGCGGCCGUAACUAUAACGGUCCUAAGGUAGCGAAAUUCCUUGUCGGGUAAGUUCCGACCCGCACGAAAGGCGUAAUGAUUUGGAUACUGUCUCAGAGAGGGGCUCGGUGAAAUAGACUUGUCUGUGAAGAUGCGGACUACCUGCACCAGGACAGAAAGACCCUAUGAAGCUUUACUGUAACUUGAAAUUGAAAUUGGACUUUAUUUGCGCAGUAUAGGUGGGAGGCUUUGAAGGUAUUCUUGUGGGAAUACUGGAGCCAUCAGUGAGAUACCACUCUUGUAAUGUUAGAUUUCUAACUUUGAAUCAUUAUCUGGUCAAAGAACAGUUUCAGGCGGGCAGUUUGACUGGGGCGGUCGCCUCCUAAACGGUAACGGAGGCGCACAAAGGUUUCCUCUGAACGGGUAGAAAUCGUAUCUAGAGUGUAAAGGCAUAAGGAAGCUUGACUGUGAGACCUACAAGUCGAGCAGGGACGAAAGUCGGUCUUAGUGAUCUGACGGUGCUGAGUGGAAAGGCCGUCACUCAACGGAUAAAAGUUACUCUAGGGAUAACAGGCUGAUCUCCCCCAAGAGUUCACAUCGACGGGGAGGUUUGGCACCUCGAUGUCGGCUCAUCGCAUCCUGGGGCGGUAGUACGUCCCAAGGGUUGGGCUGUUCGCCCAUGAAAGCGGUACGCGAGCUGGGUUCAGAACGUCGUGAGACAGUUCGGUCCAUAUCCGGUGUAGGCGUUAGAAUAUUGAGAGGAGCCUUCUUUAGUACGAGAGGACCGAGAAGGACAUACCUAUGGUGUACCAGUUAUCGUGCCAACGGUAAACGCUGGGUAGCUAUGUAUGGAGUGGAUAACCGCUGAAAGCAUCUAAGUGGGAAGCCCACCUCAAGAUAAGUAUUCUCAUCACGUAAGUGAAUAAGGUCACGGUAAGACUAACCGUUUGAUAGGCAUUAAGUGUAAACCUAGUAAUAGGUGUGCUGAGAUGUACUAACAGACCGAAGACUUG
rnacentral:rRNA from 1 species